rnacentral:misc_RNA from 1 species
GAUGAAGAACGCAGCGAAAUGCGAUAAGUAGUGUGAAUUGCAGAAUUCAGUGAAUCAUCGAAUCUUUGAACGCACAUUGCGCCCCUUGGUAUUCCAUGGGGCAUGCCUGUUCGAGCGUCAUUUGUACCUUCAAGCUUUGCUUGGUGUUGGGUGUUUGUCUCGCCUUUGCGUGUAGACUCGCCUUAAAAUAAUUGGCAGCCGGCGUAUUGAUUUCGGAGCGCAGUACAUCUCGCGCUUUGCACUCAUAACGACAGCGUCCAAAAGUACAUUUUACACUCUUGACCUCGGAUCAGGUAGGGAUACCCGCUGAACUUAAGCAUAUCAAUAAGCGGGGA